GUUUUUUUAUAAGACUUGUUUGAUGCAAUGUUAUUUUAUUAACACACAUAUAAUCUUAACGAUGGAUGUCUUGGUUCCUACAGCGAUGAAGGCCGCAAUUAAAUGCGAUAUUCUGUAUGUAUUAUAUACAACAUUUGAAUAAAUGCUGAAUGUAAAAUUAAAAA